CACGGGUGAGUUAACACGUAGGUAAUCUGCCUUCAGGUCUGACAUACCCCGAGAAAUCGGGGCUAAUAGCAGAUGAUGCAGCGGCUUGACAUCAAGACAGUUGUUAAAGCUUCGGCGCCUGAAGAUGAGCCUGCGUCUGAUUAGCUAGUUGGCGGAGUAAUAGCCCACCAAGGCGACGAUCAGUAGCUGGUCUGAGAGGAUGAUCAGCCACACUGGAACUGAGACACGGUCCAGACUCCUACGGGAGGCAGCAGUAAGGAAUAUUGCUCAAUGGGAGAAAUCCUGAAGCAGCAACGCCGCGUGAGGGAUGAAGGGCUUUUGCUCGUAAACCUCUGUAGUGAGGGAAAAAAUUUCCAUUCUAUGGAAUAUGAUGGUACCUCAAAAGUAAGCCCCGGCUAACUACGUG
rnacentral:rRNA from 1 species